rnacentral:tmRNA from 1 species
GGGGGUGUAAAGGUUUCGACGGGGAUAGGAAGCAAAGGUUGCAUGCCGAGGUCCGGGCAGGUCUCGUAAAACAGCCCGGGGCGAAUUAAACGCCGAUAAUUACGACUACGCUGUAGCAGCUUAAUACCCUGCUACCGAUCCGCUGAGCCUCUCCCACGGGCAAGGAUGGAUCGUCAUUUUAGUGGGAUAGUCAACGGGAACGCCUGCGGCCCCGAGGCGAAACCUUAGCAGGAUCGCUGCCCAGAAAUCCCGGCAGGGGGAGUUCCGGGCCGUUAAAUCAAAACCCUCGCACAAGCAUGUAGACGCCUUUAGUGUAUGAUCUUCGGACGCCGGUUCGACUCCGGCCACCUCCACCA